rnacentral:rRNA from 1 species
UACGAAGGGGGCUAGCGUUGCUCGGAAUCACUGGGCGUAAAGCGCACGUAGGCGGGUCUUUAAGUCAGGGGUGAAAUCCUGGAGCUCAACUCCAGAACUGCCUUUGAUACUGAGGAUCUCGAGUCCGGGAGAGGUGAGUGGAACUCCGAGUGUAGAGGUGAAAUUCGUAGAUAUUCGGAAGAACACCGGUGGCGAAGGCGGGUCUCUGGGCCGUAACUGACGCUGAGGAGCGAAAGCGUGGGAGCGAACAGG